AGAUACCGUCGUAGUUCUGACCAUAAACGAUGCCAACUAGCGAUCAGCCGGAGUUGCUUCAAUGACUCGGCUGGCAGCUUCCGGGAAACCAAAGUCUUUGGGUUCUGGGGGAAGUAUGGCCGCAAAGCUGAAACUUAAAGGAAUUGACGGAAGGGCCACCACCAGAGUGGAGCCUGCGCUUAAUUUGACUCAACACGGGAAAACUCACCCGGCCCGGACACUGUAAGGAUUGACAGAUUGAGAGCUCUUUCUUGAUU
rnacentral:rRNA from 1 species